CCUACGGGUGGCAGCAGUAGGGAAUCUUCCACAAUGGACGAAAGCCUGAUGGAGCAACGCCGCGUGGGUGAAGAAGGUCUUCGGAUCGUAAAACCCUGUUGUUAGAGAAGAAAGUGCGUGAGAGUAACUGUUCACGUUUCGACGGUAUCUAACCAGAAAGCCACGGCUAACUACGUGCCAGCAGCCGCGGUAAUACGUAGGUGGCAAGCGUUAUCCGGAUUUAUUGGGCGUAAAGGGAACGCAGGCGGUCUUUUAAGUCUGAUGUGAAAGCCUUCGGCUUAACCGGAGUAGUGCAUUGGAAACUGGUAGACUAGAGUGCAGAAGAGGAGAGUGGAACUCCAUGUGUAGCGGUGAAAUGCGUAGAUAUAUGGAAGAACACCAGUGGCGAAAGCGGCUCUCUGGUCUGUAACUGACGCUGAGGUUCGAAAGCGUGGGUAGCAAACAGGAUUAGAUACCCCAGUAGUC
rnacentral:rRNA from 1 species